rnacentral:rRNA from 1 species
GACGAACGCUGGCGGCGUGCUUAACACAUGCAAGUCGAACGGAAAGGCCCUGCUUUUGUGGGGUGCUCGAGUGGCGAACGGGUGAGUAACACGUGAGUAACCUGCCCUUGACCUUGGGAUAACUUCAGGAAACUGGGGCUAAUACCAGAUAGGAGCUCCUGCUGCAUGGUGGGGGUUGGAAAGUUUCGGCGGUUGGGGAUGGACUCGCGGCUUAUCAGCUUGUUGGUGGGGUAGUGGCUUACCAAGGCUUUGACGGGUAGCCGGCCUGAGAGGGUGACCGGCCACAUUGGGACUGAGAUACGGCCCAGACUCCUACGGGAGGCAGCAGUGGGGAAUAUUGCACAAUGGGCGGAAGCCUGAUGCAGCAACGCCGCGUGCGGGAUGACGGCCUUCGGGUUGUAAACCGCUUUCGCCUGUGACGAAGCGUGAGUGACGGUAAUGGGUAAAGAAGCACCGGCUAACUACGUG